rnacentral:lncRNA from 1 species
GUGCGUCAUUUGAUUCAGGUGCGGACCUUAACGUCUGCACCUCUUGAUACGGUGUCACCCAUGUUCUUCAUUUGCCCAGCAGUUCGAAGUGCGGCGUUGGCAGUAUCUUGCUCAGUGUGUUUGUGCUCGUAGAUCCAGGUCCUUCACUUGGUGGAGUCUGGGAGUUGUAAAACUCCUCCAUAUUUUGCUCGAAGUGUACCUACACAUAAGGCAAAGAUCAAGUGCAUGGGUCCUGUUGGUGGAAAACACCAACAGAACCAAAAGUGUAUUUGUUCUUCUCUAACCUUAAGCAUAGCGAGCAAGACAAAGUUGAUGGAUGAUAAGUUCAUGAGUGUAGUACUUAUAACAUUUGUCAGAUCAGAACGCUCAACCUUAUGGAAAGAUAAUCUAUCUAUGUAUAUGUCUUUUUCUUUAUAUCUCUCAAAGAUUAAAUGUGUAACAUUUUAGCUCAUAUGAUUAGGAGUGUGGGAUCAUGGAGGUAGUACUAGGAACAAAGAUUAAAGGACUAAACAUGCUGAAUCAGUUGGG